rnacentral:rRNA from 1 species
UACGUAGGGGGCUAGCGUUGUCCGGAAUCAUUGGGCGUAAAGAGCGUGUAGGCGGUCCGGUAAGUCCGUUGUGAAAGUCAGGGGCUCAACCCUUGAAUGCCGGCGGAUACUGUCGGGCUAGAGUCCGGAAGAGGCGAGUGGAAUUCCCGGUGUAGCGGUGAAAUGCGCAGAUAUCGGGAGGAACACCUAUGGCGAAGGCAGCUCGCUGGGACGGUACUGACGCUGAGGUGCGAAAGCGUGGGGAGCAAACAGG